CCUAACUCUAUCUAGUUUCCAGUUGUGUGCCGCUGGUGGUGCCCUCGUGUGUCCCACACUCUCCCCCCAGUUAGCCUAUCACCUGACACGGAACCAUCCGUGCCCCCACGGUUCUUGCUUCUGCGCAGGUGCAGCCGCCAGGCAGCGAGGCCCAUUGUCUGCUGUGUGGGUUCACUGGCCCGGGGGGUGAUAUAUCAGCUGCAAGCCGGGAGAAGGUCAGGCAACGAGGGCGGUCGAGCCCGCCCGGGCCGCACCCAGGGACAGAGCGCGUAGGGCGCCGGAAGGGGGGAUCACCCCCUCCAGGGAUAUACUUGUUAUUUUAGUUAGCGUAAGAAGAGCUUAUUUGCUAUCAUUUAGAACUUUAGUAAUAGCAGUCAUCAACUACUCGAAUGUCAAUGUUAUAUCUAACAGGAUAAAAAAUGCAUACUCAUUUACUGUAGUCACUAGUGUGUAUCGGAUGUUAGAAUACACAAUCAAUAGACUCAUCAACAAAGUAACAACCAAUUACUUAUGUAUGCACGG